ensembl:rRNA 5S_rRNA 5S ribosomal RNA
GCCUGCAGCGAUACCACCGUGAGCACACCUAAUCUCAUCUGAUCUUGGAAACUAAAACUAAGCAGGGUCCGGCCUGAUUAGUACUGAGAGCGAGAAAUGUUAGCUCCAUUUUUCUUCCUCAUCUACUGCUGCCAGUG